rnacentral:rRNA from 1 species
CCUACGGGAGGCAGCAGUGGGGAAUAUUGGUCAAUGGGCGCAAGCCUGAACCAGCCAAGUCGCGUGAAGGAUGACUGCCCUACGGGUUGUAAACUUCUUUUGUAAAGGAGUAAAUUGAGACACGUGUGCCUUUUUGUAUGUACUUUAUGAAUAAGGAUGGGCUAACUCCGUGCCAGAAGCGGCGGUAAUACGGAGGAUCCGAGCGUUAUCCGGAUUUCUUGGGUUUAAAGGUAGCGUAGAUGGGUUGUUAAGUCAGUGGUGAAAGUUUGAGGCUCAACCGUAAAAUUGCUAUUGAUACUGGCAGGCUUGAGUACAGGUGAGGUAGGCGGAAUGCGUGGUGUAGCGGUGAAAUGCUUAGAUAUCACGAAGAACACCGAUUGCGAAGGCAGCUUACUAAACUGCCACUGACAUUGAUGCUCGAAAGUGUGGGUAUCAAACAGGAUUAGAUACCCGUGUAGUC